rnacentral:rRNA from 1 species
GCUUAACCGGAGAAGUGCAUCGGAAACUGGGAGACUUGAGUGCAGAAGAGGACAGUGGAACUCCAUGUGUAGCGGUGGAAUGCGUAGAUAUAUGGAAGAACACCAGUGGCGAAGGCGGCUGUCUAGUCUGUAACUGACGCUGAGGCUCGAAAGCAUGGGUAGCAAACAGGAUUAGAUACCCUGGUUGUCCAUGCCGUAAACGAUGAGUGCUAGGUGUUGGAGGGUUUCCGCCCUUCAGUGCCGCAGCUAACGCAUUAAGCACUCCGCCUGGGGAGUACGACCGCAAGGUUGAAACUCAAAGGAAUUGACGGGGGCCCGCACAAGCGGUGGAGCAUGUGGUUUAAUUCGAAGCUACGCGAAGAACCUUACCAGGUCUUGACAUCUUCUGCCAAUCUUAGAGAUAAGACGUUCCCUUCGGGGACAGAAUGACAGGUGGUGCAUGGUUGUCGUCAGCUCGUGUCGUGAGAUGUUGGGUUAAGUCCCGCAACGAGCGCAACCCUUAUUAUCAGUUGCCAGCAUUAAGUUGGGCACUCUGGUGAGACUGCCGGUGACAAACCGGAGGAAGGUGGGGAUGACGUCAAAUCAUCAUGCCCCUUAUGACCUGCGCUACACACGUGCUACAAUGGACGGUACAACG